rnacentral:rRNA from 1 species
AGAAUCAACGCUGGCGGCGUGCCUAACACAUGCAAGUCGAGCGCGAAAGGGGAGCAAUCCCCAAGUAGAGCGGCGAACGGGUGAGUAACGCGUGGGUAAUCUGCCUCCGAGUGGGGAACAACAUCGGGAAACUGGUGCUAAUACCGCAUAACAUCGUCGGGUCUUCGGAUCUGACGAUCAAAGCCGGGGACCGCAAGGCCUGGCGCUUGGAGAGGAGCCCGCGUCCGAUUAGCUAGUUGGUGGGGUAAUGGCCUACCAAGGCUUCGAUCGGUA